UUCUUCCUUUUGGUGCGAGCUUGCUGUGGUUUUUGCUCUGGGUCCUCUGGGAUGGCGCCUGGCUGUGGCCGCGUGGUCUCUCACGCAGGGGCGCCGGGCGGGGGAACGCGGCCACCCUGAGUCUGGUGAGUCGACUGCGGCGGCCUGUGUCCGAAGUGUCCGGGGCCGUGAACAAGGGCAGCGGCCUGGCCUCAGGCCUGCGUUCCCACGUUUGGAAACGGGGAGCUUCGUCGAUUUGUGUUUACAUCAUCGACUAUGCCAGGGAGUUCUCCAGAUAAGCCUGGUUUUAUUUUCGUCAGUGAAAAGGCCUUACCGUAUAACUGACUUUAUGCUUGCCCUGCCCCCGUAUAAAAUAACUUAAAAGCAGCGUGCCUGGUUACAGCUGUUUCCACGUGCGGUGCUCGUCGGGAGUGAUCACCUACCCUACAGGUGGAAGAUGGAUGCCUGAAGUGUAGACUGCUGCUAGCUGAAUACCAUCUGGGAGCAUAAAGGUGACCUGAAGGAUGUCCUUGGUGAGGAUUUUGAAAAUUUGAUCUUCACAAGAGUUGCCUGGAUCAUUUGAAAUUUCUGGGAGUCUGAGGAGUACUGACAUAAUUACCUGCUGGAGUCUGAAACGACAAAUAAU
rnacentral:lncRNA from 1 species